AGCGAACGCUGGUGGCAGGCUUAACACAUGCAAGUCGAGCGGGCGUAGCAAUACGUCAGCGGCAGACGGGUGAGUAACGCGUGGGAACGUACCUUUGGUUCGGAACAACACAGGGAAACUUGUGCUAAUACCGGAUAAGCCCUUACGGGGAAAGAUUUAUCGCCGAAAGAUCGGCCCGCGUCUGAUUAGCUAGUUGGUAGGGUAAUGGCCUACCAAGGCGACGAUCAGUAGCUGGUCUGAGAGGAUGAUCAGCCACAUUGGGACUGAGACACGGCCCAAACUCCUACGGGAGGCAGCAGUGGGGAAUAUUGGACAAUGGGGGCAACCCUGAUCCAGCCAUGCCGCGUGAGUGAUGAAGGCCCUAGGGUUGUAAAGCUCUUUUGUGCGGGAAGAUAAUGACGGUACCGCAAGAAUAAGCCCCGGCUAACUUCGUGCCAGCAGCCGCGGUAAU
rnacentral:rRNA from 1 species